rnacentral:snoRNA from 1 species
GCAGCCUAGGAAACCAGUGCAUGCGCGAGACUUGUGCUGCGCUGCUGCCG